GUGGGGAAUCUUAGACAAUGGUCGCAAGCCUGAUCUAGCCAUGCCGCGUGAGCGAUGAAGGCCUUAGGGUUGUAAAGCUCUUUCAGUGGGGAAGAUAAUGACUGUACCCACAGAAGAAGCCCCGGCUAACUCCGUGCCAGCAGCCGCGGUAAUACGGAGGGGGCUAGCGUUGUUCGGAAUUACUGGGCGUAAAGCGCACGUAGGCGGACUGGAAAGUCAGGGGUGAAAUCCCGGGGCUCAACCCCGGAACUGCCUUUGAAACUCCCAGUCUUGAGGUCGAGAGAGGUGAGUGGAAUUCCGAGUGUAGAGGUGAAAUUCGUAGAUAUUCGGAGGAACACCAGUGGCGAAGGCGGCUCACUGGCUCGAUACUGACGCUGAGGUGCGAAAGCGUGGGGAGCAAACAGGAUUAGAAACCCUUGUAGUCC
rnacentral:rRNA from 1 species